rnacentral:tRNA from 1 species
GAGAGUACAGCUCAAGUGGUAGAGCGCAUGCUUAGCAUGCAUGAGGUUCUGGGUUCAAUCCCCAGUACCUCU